UACGUAGGGGGCGAGCGUUGUCCGGAUUUAUUGGGCGUAAAGAGCUCGUAGGCGGUUCGAUAAGUCGGACGUGAAAUCUCCACGCUCAACGUGGAGGGGCCGUUCGAUACUGUCGUGACUCGAGUCCGGUAGGGGAGUGUGGAAUUCCCGGUGUAGCGGUGAAAUGCGCAGAUAUCAGGAGGAACACCGGUGGCGAAGGCGGGUCUCUGGGCCGUAACUGACGCUGAGGAGCGAAAGCAUGGGGAGCGAACAGG
rnacentral:rRNA from 1 species